rnacentral:rRNA from 1 species
CUACGGGGUGCACCAGUGGGGAAUAUUGGACAAUGGGGGAAACCCUGAUCCAGCAAUGCCGCGUGUGUGAAGAAGGCCUGCGGGUUGUAAAGCACUUUCGGUUGGGAGGACUGCUUCUAGCACUAAUAUUGUUGGAAGUUGACGUUACCUUCAGAAGAAGCACCGGCUAACUCCGUGCCAGCAGCUGCGGUAAUACGGAGGGGUGCAAGCGUUAAUCGGAAUUACUGGGCGUAAAGCGCGCGUAGGCGGCUAGAUCAGUCGGGUGUGAAAGCCCCGGGCUUAACCUGGGAACUGCAUCCGAUACUGUCUAGCUUGAGUACAGGAGAGGAGAGUGGAAUUCCACAUGUAGCGGUGAAAUGCGUAGAUAUGUAGAGGAACACCAAUGGCGAAGGCAGCUCUCUGGCCUGAUACUGACGCUGAGGUGCGAAAGCGUGGGGAGCAAACAGGAUUAGAUACCCCCGUAGUC